rnacentral:lncRNA from 1 species
AUAAAAGUGAUUACUCUGCUGCAAAGGUUUUUAUAGGGUUUAGGUCUUGCUAAGGGGGAUGUUUAGGGGAGAGAAGCUUUUUUUUAUGGUCAUGUAUAGGAACUGACACUUUGUCUGCAGCAAUCUACUUUACCUCCUAAACAUAUCGGUACUCAAAGACUCCAUCUGUUGGAUUUGUAUGAGUAAUCCUGGGGCUGGCAUUUCUUUGCCCUUCAUGUAGAAGCCUGGAGAGAUCCUUGUAACUCUGGAACAAGGAGGCUCAAGACAGACACCAGAUUCGAUCUUCAAAGGAGGCAAACCUGCUUUUAUCCAGCCUCAGCUGGAAGCUGUGUUGCAGCAGAAAGAAGAGAGACCCACCUAAAUGGUGCUGCCACUAAUGGAAGCCCUGUGGAAAAGAGAUCAGCAAGAUACUAGUACAGUCACCAGCUCUUUCCUGCCCUUCCUCCAGCUCUCUCCCAGGCACUGCCCCCAUUUUGAGGCACCGAUUCGAGGAGAAGUCUGUCUCUUUAAUUGCAUCUCCCAGAGAGGGUCCAAUCUCUGUCCCGCUGCAUGCUACGGUCCUCAAGUUGCUUGGCAGGCAUCUUCCAUCUCCUUGCCCACCAGCCUAUGUGUUGGAUCUUUGAUCUCCCCUCUGGAAGCCCGCAGCCCUGAGAGCCACCUUGGAUUCAAGAAGUUCUGUAUGUGACAGUAUUUGCCCGUUGGAAACAAGUCUGAAGGCACCAAUGCCAUUUUUCUUGAAUCCAACAGAAAAAACCAAAAAAGCCAAAAACAAAACAGCU